GCCGAGAGACUUACCUCCUCACGGGCACGAAUAACAUAAGUUCUCGCAGGCACUCUGCCCUCAGAACUCACCACCGUAUCUCUAGUCGCUCCUCUACUGUUAGCUCCACUACCCGGAUUCUUUUGUGGUCUCCCCCUCAACGGAGCACUGCUUGCCUUCAUUUCUUACUUCCUCUCUUUCUCUUCCAUCUCAGGGCAAUCGCGAAUAAAGUGGUCUAGUGAUCCACACUUGAAACAACCCC
rnacentral:lncRNA from 1 species